GCGGACGUGGCCAAGCGGAUUAAGGCAGGGGAUUGUGAAUC
rnacentral:tRNA from 1 species